GCCGAGACGCUCGUCAAGACGCUCUACAAGUCUGGCAAGCAGGCCCUGCCAUGGCAACACACGCCUGCCAAGAACCCCGAGGCCCCGCCGCCGGCCGAGGUCAGCAGCAACGAUGCUGCUGCGGCGGCGGACAAGAACCCGGCGGAGCCUGUGAAGGAGCCGCAGGCCGACGACAGCUCGGACAGGACGCCGGAGCAGGAGGAGACGGCCCCGGACAAGACGCCUGAGACGGAGAAGGAAGCAGAGUCUGAGAAGAAGGAGGAUGAGAAAGAGGAGGCGAAAGCCACGAAACCAAGCGCUGAGGCAAAGAAAGACGGCGGCGACGGCGAGGGCCCGGCGGCCGAGCCCAAAGCAAAGGAGGACACAAAGGUGGCCGGCAAUGACCAGGGCGAGGCCAAGGAGGAACAGAGCAAGCCUAAGGAUGCAGCUGCGGCGGACAGGUCCCUAUCUCCGGCGCCGACGCCCGCGCACCAGGAGUUCAGCCCGUACAACGCGCCGCAGCCGGUGACGAGCUACCACACGGCGCAUCCGGCAGCGAGCGUGUCCUACUACGCGCCGCAGCCGGAGCAGGGCUACUCCAUGCGGCAGCAGCCAUCGCAGCCGCAGCCCGGGUACUCCUCCCUCAUGCAGCCGCAGCACCCACCGCCGGCGCCGCAACAGCAAUGGUCGCCGUCGUACCUUUACAUGCCGUACCCGCACGCGUCGCUGGAGUCGUACUACCCGGAUUACUACAGCCCGCCCGGGACGCACACGCCACCGGCACCGCCACCUCCGCCGCCGCAACAGCAAUGGUCGCCGUCGUACCUUUACAUGCCGUACCCGCACGCGUCGCUGGAGUCGUACUACCCGGAUUACUACAGCCCGCCCGGGACGCACACGCCACCGGCACCGCCACCUCCGCCGCCGCUCCAGGACUCGUACCGCCUCUUCGACGACGAGAACCCCAACUCGUGCAGCGUCAUGUGAUUUCACCGAGACAUGGACACGUAUGGCGCGGCGUAGCUCCAGCUAGCCACCGGCGGCAGAGUAGCUAAGAAAAGGCGGCUUAAAGCUCUCCUUGACCAAUCCAUUUUUCCUCUUCUUCUUUAUUAUUGUUAUUAGUGUUCUAUAAACAGAGCAUGUAAUUGUAAUGAGAUAAGCCUUUACAUGUAGCAUAGCAUCAAUGAAAUCUUCCCUACUCCCUCCGUCACGGUUUAGAAGGCGUGCAUACAAAUUCUCUAGGACCUAAGUGGUUAUUGAUUGGCUCUGAAAUAAGUUAAAAAAUAGCAUUCACACUACGCAUGCAUAUAGAAGUAGUACAACGGAGUACUAAUUAGCUGCUAGGAGUAAAUGCAACGCGCCUUAAUCUUUGUCUAUUUUGGAAACGCAUGCAAGUCUAACUGUGCCUUCUAAACCGUAACGGAGGGAGUACCAUAGAUAGGAUUUUGCACAAUGUACUCCCUCUGUCCCAAAAUAAAUGACGCAAAUUUUAUACUUCUUCCGUCCCAAAAUUCUUGUCUUAUAUUUGUCUACAUAUGAAUGUAUCUAGUCACGUUUUAGUAUUUAGAUACAUUCAUUUCUAGACAAACUUACAAGAAUUUUAAGACGGAGGGAGUACUAAGUUAAUAUAAAUUUUGUACUAAAGCAGCGACACUUAUAUUGAGACGGAGGGAGUAAAACAUAACAUAAAUGUCGUCCUUUCCCAACCCAAUCAUAUCUAGAGGAUAUCCUUCUUUGAUUCUUCUCGCCUACUCAUGAAUAGCCUCGACACCAUAUGCAUGGGACCUUAUCGAAAAAUGAUUUUUUUUCACUUUCGUAUUACAAAGCAAGCAACACCGAUACAUAAAUCGCUCGAACGAACAUCACAACAAACCCAAAAGAAAAAGAAGAAGAAACAAAUGCCAACAGCGGCAGCACGUCAAAGUGCGCCCACCGGAAACAAACCACCAUACGAGGCUAUGAUCCUCCGUGUACCAAGCAGCACCUCCAAGAAGGAAUGUGACGCCGACGACGCUGCUGCCCGGACGGAUCCUAGGGUUUCCCCCGGCACGCGGAGGGCUGAUGGGGAUGGAUACCACCGACACCCUCCAGGAAGGAAUGGUGGCACCCGCACGCGUCACCGCAUCGGAGCCGAAGACCGGCAAGGAUUUCUCCCGUACUCCCGACCCCGCCGCCCAACCGAACUGGGGCCGACCAGUCAAACCUCCGCCCACCACCAUGCUACAUCUCGGUUGCACCACCACCCACGUCGCCUCACUGCGAACACCACGACGAGGCCAAGAGAACCGACGAGAGGCACCAAACGGCGGAAGCAACGGCACCGUUACUGAGCAGGAGGGAACCACCUCCAACACCGACGAGCAGGAGGCCCGAGCCCCCGACAUCGUCACGGUCGCCGUCCAGACGCGGCAGCGGGGCACACCAGACCACCCCUGGCCCGGCCAGGCCCGAACAGGCCCGCUAAGCCCCGUAGGCCACACUACAGCAAUUCGGCAUCCGCACCACCAGUUCCCAGCCGCUCGACGCCGCACCCCGCCUCCUGGAGGUCGUGCCAUGGACCCACCCUGCUUCCGGCCCGCCCGGACCCAGAUGGGGCUCGAAGGGCCCAGAUCUAGGCCGAUCGGGCCCGCAAGGCGGCGCCGCCGCACUACCCGGCUGCCAACGGCGACACCACUGUCCAACCGCCGCGCUACCCCGCCGCCAACAGCGCGAGUACCCCGCCGCCACGCCGCCGCCUAGCGACACCCCCCGGCCUGCUCCGUCCGGCGCUAGAUAAACCCGAAAGGGGAAUGACGAAGGGCCGCCGUCGCCAGCGUCGCCCGGGCCAGGCCCGACGGCGAGCGCCGACGAUGGUGGCGGGGGAGGAGGGAGGGAGGUGGGAGCUGGAGGAGGAAGGUUUGGGGACGCGAACGAUCGCCCGUGGGGGCGACGCGGUCGCAAGAGCUCUACUUCCUUCACCAACGUCGUUUUAUCAUGCAUGGGACCUUAGAGCAUCUAUAGCCAGAUUUAGAAAUGUGACUGUUAUGAGCCCCUAUUUGUUUGUCUAUGUAAUCACUAUUUAUAUUUUCUUUCUCAUAUGUCAUGUCUCUUACACGUGAUUGAUGAAGAUGAAAGAAAAAAAAAGAAUAAGAAAAACGAGUACAGAAAGAGAACAUGUGCUGAGGGGUGAGCCAUGUCCUAUAUGGUAGAUUGAUUGAAUACGUUUGGACUUGUCCGUGAGCCCUCCUAUUCUUUCUUCAUUUGUCUUUGGGACGAGGGUUUAUGGAUAACCUAAACGUAUAAGAAUAAUAUGAGCGAUCCCGUUAGCUGACUUUCCUUCUCUCUUCUGUCUGGUCGAUGCUUCCGUGGAUAUUUGAGAAGAUAUGAGAAUACCUAUUGUAGAUGCUCUUACCUAAGCCGCUGUCCAUAGAUUUACUCUUUAGAUGAUUCUAGUUGUCCGCAUGCCAUAAUUUACUUAACUGAUAAGGCCCAAUGAUCACCUCUCCUUUUUGCAACCGAUGAUGUGAGGACGAUGAUAAUCUUAGUUGUUUAGUGUGAUAGCUCAGAAGUUAAAUUUAAGCUCGUGAUUGGGGUGCACUAACGGAAUAACCAACUAUGCCAACGGCCCAAGCCGUCAGCAUAGGUCCAAAAACCGUCGGGAUAGGCCUACAUCGAUGAUGGCCGUCGGCAUAGCCUCGUCGGCAACUUGUACGUCGGCGCACCCAAAGUCGCCUGUCAGCAUAGCUUUUUAUAUCAACGACACCCAUACAACCGUCGGUAUAAAUACACCGUCAGUAAAUUUCUACACUCACGGCCAUUGACGGUGUUGUCGUCAAGUUGGCGCCUAUCAUAUCGUGCCACGUGGCAGCUGCUAGUAGCUCCUGGUGCACGUCAAUGCCGACGGCACAUAACCGUCGAAAUAGUGUUAGAUUUAUGCCGACGGCCUAAACCAUCGGUAUAGUGGUGCACCGGGACUGCCCAGUCGUCGCCAUGUGGCGGCCAUUGGUAGCACGGCGCCAUCAAUGCUGACGGUUAGGUCGUAGGCAUAUACUCUAUGCCGACGGCAAAACCAUCGGCAUAGCUUGGAACACGUAUGAGAAAAAAAUGGUUGCCCGACAGCCGGUGAGCCCAGUCAGCCAGCGAGCCCAUGCCAGUCAGCCGGCAAGCAUGGACAGCCAUGUGCAGGUUGCUGUUGCAGUAUGUCAAAAUAACUUUGCAAUAGCAUUGGUCGCCGUCGUACCUUUACAUGUCGUACCCACAUGCAUUGUCGGAGUCUUACUACUACAACGCUCCAGGGAUGCACGCGUUGCCCCCGCCGCCACUCCAGGACUCGUACCACCUCUUCGACGACGAGAACCAUAACUCGUGUAGCGUCAUGUGAUUUCAUCGACACGUGUGGCACGACGCGGCUCCAGAUAGCCACCGGCAGCAAAGUAGCUACGAAGGUUGGGAGGCCAAAGCUCUCCUUACCAAUCCAUUUUUCCUCUUCUUCUUUCUUUGUCAUGUGACAACCCUUUACAUGUAGCAUAGCAUUAAUGAGAUCUUCCAUCCUUAGAUAUGUUUAUAAGCUAAAACAUAAGAGAAACAUAUAAAGAAUUAGAGAUACUCUCUCCAUUCACAUAUAUAGGGCCUAAUACAUUUCUCAAGAUUACUUUUCACCAUGAGUUAGCAAUAUACAAUAAGACAUGCAUGUUAAACAAACCAUACCAUCAAAUUCAUAUGUGAAAUGAAUUUCUAAUGAUGUAACUUUUAUAUCAUAUACUUAGAGCAUCUACAGUCGGAACACUCAAAUCCGGACCCUCGAAUGCCCACGGACACAUCCGGACGGUCCCUCAUAUUUCGCUCCAUGCAUCCAUAUACUUCACAUCCCGACUCUCAAAAUCAUACAAAGCCAUGAACGUCGAUCAUCUCAUAGUAAACAUCGCACAUAAAAUAAAUGUUGGUACCGAACAUAAAAUUGGUUUAGAUCAAUUUUAUUUGAACUGCACAAUCAAUCAUCUGCUCUUUGAUUUCCAUUAUGGUUCCACAUAUGGUCCAUCACAUCAUUGAGUAGUUGCAUGUGCACGUGAUGAUCUCAGAGAUUCUGAUGCAUCUGCAGAAAAUUUAUAAGAUGCAUUGCAUUUUGAUCUUCAGGGGUUUCAACUUGUACUCCAUGUGUUUCAAAAUCGUUGGUUUGGGCUACACCAUCAACCUCGUCCUCGACGAUCAUAUUGUGUAAAAUAGCAUAAUAUGUCAUUACCUGGCAUAAAGUUUCUUGUUCCCACAUCAUUGAAGCCCCACGAACAAUUACCCAAUGCGCUUGCAGCACUCCAAAAGCCCUGUCCACAUCCUAGCUAAUUCCUAGCUGAUUCAUGCAUUGUUGCGAAGUGCUUUUGUUUUCUGCCAUGUGGUUCGGAUAUGGCCUUCACAAAUGCAUCCCAUUGAGUAUAUAUGCCAUCGGCAAGAUAUAUAUUAUCCCAUGUUGUAGUCUUGACCGUUGACGGUGUAGUUGUAUGGAGGUGAUUCCCCGUUGCAAAGUCUCCUAAAUACCGGAGAUCGUUGAAGCACGUUGAUGUAUUUAUGAGAACCUGUCAUUCUAAAGAAAACACGUCAAAUCCAUAAGUCAUGUGAAGAUAGGCCCUCCGCCCGAGGUCGCCGCCCCAGCGCACCCAAGGCCCUCCACUCAGGUGACUAAGCAGCCGAGACCCCGCCGCCAUCCUCAAUGUCCACACGGGCUGGUCCGACGGCUGCCUCCUUCGAUGACGAGAGGGGAGGUGGAUGAGGACUGGCAGCGCGGGGGGAAACGGAGAAAACCUAAUCGCCCUCGGGUCGUCCGCAAGGAGCGACGCGGGCCAUAAUUUACUUAAUCAAUAAGGCCCAAUCAGCCCUCCUUUUUCCCACCUAUGAUUAUUUAGUGUGAUAGCUCAGCAGUUCAAUUUAAGACGGUGCUUUGGGUAAGGCCAAACUGGCCGGUUUGUUUCAAAGCUUUUGAAUAUUGGUAUUGUUAAAUUUAAGUCGACUGAGACUUAUCGAAGUCUCAAUCAAUGCUAUACUAAUAACAUCUUACGUGAACAUCUGUGUAAAUAAAAAAAAGAGAAAUUCUUCUUCUUUUUUAUAUGUUGUAUAACUUGAGUGAGACUUAGACUGAAAUGUAGUCACGCCGUUUUGAAUAUAGUUAAGCAAGGGGGUUGUGCUUCUCCACAUGUUAAUGUUAAUGAUUGGCCCCUGCAUGCUCAUCUUAGCUUAGGGAAUUAUUAUAAGCUAAGUAUGCUCAUUAAGCUAACCUGGUUUCAUUACUGUGGGUUGGCGAGCGCAUACAUAAUGGAAGAGUGGUGGACAAAUCAGUAGCACUGGCGUGGAAGCUAGUGGGCCUUCAGCUGUACCAGAUAGGAGUAAUGCUUUGCUUAGGCUGAUUGUAAUGGGUAGUAUCAUAUACUAGUAUCAUGCAUAUGAUACUAAUGUAUGAUACCAUAACCGUAAUGCAUAGUAUCAUGUGUUAGUAUCAUAGGAUGAUUUAUUUAUUAUCAUGCAAGACACAUAGUAGCACAACAUUUAAUAUAAUACGGUAUCAUGAUAUGAUACUCAACCAUCUCUUUCUCCAUUUAAUUCUAUGCCACCUCAUCGAAAUUGCCUAGUUGGUGUGCAUGAUACUACCUAUGAUACUCUCAUUACGGGCAGCCUUAGUUGUUUAUUACCCACUGAACAGCCCCUUAAAGCAUGGUUAAUAGUAUAGCCAACUGCUGGCUAUAAGCAGUCUUCUAGUCCAUCUUAUAGCUAGCUUGUACAAUAGUUAGCUAUAAAAGAGUACUACUUUUAUCAUAUAUGGCCCAUCUUUCAUUCUCACAAAGCACAUAUGAGCACGUGCUAGAGCUGGCUCUUCACGAAAAGCCCGCUUCCCUUCUCUCUCCUCUUCUCUUUCAUCCAACUCAGCAAAAGUAUAGUAUUUUAAUCCUUACAGCCUGCUGACUGUACCUUAUUGUACUUGCUCUUAGAUAAAAUAGCCAUUGGACAUGCAAAAAAAAUCUCACUAGGGACAAGAUAGAGGACUCCCCUCCCUUUCUGCACCACAGGUGAUGCACAUGGCAUGCCGAGCACCGAACGACGAAAGGUCCCUCGAAUUUGGCAAGUUUUGAUUGCCUACAGAUUUUAGCAUUUUAUGUUUGAAUAAAGAUGAAGAUCCUUAAUCAUGUUUUUACCUUGUAUUCCUGCACGGUUGUGCUCUCUAUGAAUUUUCUUACCUGGUUAUAUCAUCGUCAGAAACAAGCCAUGGACAACUGAGCAGCACUACAACACUUGCCCCCGUCACUCUCAUGUAGUACCACGUGUCACUGUGUCAGAUUGCUUGGGAUUUGGGACGAACAGGGCCGACCAAACGGGUCCGGCCAGCCCACGUCAAAUCCGUUCCCCAGGUAACUCGAAACAAGUGCUGGAAAAUGUUUGGAAGCAAUGCCAUUCUUUUUUGCACGCUCGAUCUGCAAAGUAUAGCCUUUUGAGUUAUCUUGAUCUUGGUUAGCAUGGUACUGAUCCAACCAAAGGAGGAAGAAGAAGAAGAAUAUACAACAGCUAGCAUCAUCAUCGUCGAAGGAAUUGGAGGUUUGGCAUUGUCUAACGACUGCUAGGUUCCCUCCAUGACUGUUAGUUGGCGCAUGCCUUUUCGAGGCUCCCAUGCCGUCCUCCUAGAACUAGAAAUAUGUACUAGGUUGAAAUCAUGAAACUUUCAUAAAGAUUUAUGGCGCCGGCAUUUCUCCAAGAAAGCAAUGUUUGGACCUACUUAGGUUUCAUCCACUCAAGGAAAUUUGAAAGAAAAAAAAAUGAAUCCAAAGUUGGAUCUAGGCCAAAAUUCACGUGAUAAUACCAAGUAACUUUCAUGAUUAAGUUUUAUAAUUUUUUGUGUCAGUCGGAGUUAUCUUGUCGACCAUGGUGUGCCAAACAUCACCCAAAAUAUGACCAACUCCCUCAGUACCAGUACAAAGAUGAAAAGCUACAGCUGACCAAACGCGAAAAGCACAUGGUUUUGGAGCUGUCAAGGGGAAGAGUUUUGAUGCGUAGGGACAUCGGCCAGAAUGCAUGAUUAGCCAUAUACUUAACCGGUUGGUCCCUCCCAAUGUACAUACUUGGCUUUCAGCAGGACCUUAUAUUUGUACUAAUUAACUAAAGCGUUGAUCACUCACAACUCUCUGGUCUGGAAAAAGCCAAAACCUCGCAAUCUGCUAGAAGGAAACCCGUGGCAUCCCUGUCGCGGACGCCGCGCACGGCAUUGUCUCUACAAUGUGGAGAACAUUUCCUUUAUUGUGAAUUGUUCGUAAUUUUGCUUUCAGAAUUAUUGGUGAUGCUGAUAACACCGUAACAAUAGAUAGUGCAUGUAACAUCGGGAUGAUCGGUCGACCAUGAUGUCCGAGCAGGAACUCUGAUUCAGACUAUUUAUAGUACUAGCAGAAAUGCUUCCAAUGGAGCUGAAUUGGCAGUUUUAUGCGUUGACAUGUCAGCAGAUUUGACCUGUACGUACCGGUUACACCUGAUGCUCCAUUUUCUGUGUAUCCUUUCCCUUAUAUUUAAGACCAACCUUUUAUGAAUGGAAGUGUACAAGUGCCAUUUUAACGAAUGGUAUGCUUGAAACUGUCAGAGUAUUCCUGGAUGGAGUUCGAAAUCUGGGCCACUCAACAUCAUCAACAACAACAAAGCCUAUAGUCUCGAUCAAGUUGGGAUAGGCUAGAUGUAAAACCCAUCAGAUCUUGCGACCAACUCAUAAUUUAGUAUUUCUGAGAGAUAAUCCUUGGCACUGCUGUCCUCCUAUGCGGUUUAUAUUUGAGUGGAAUGGAAUAUAUGAGUCCUUGUUAGAUGCACCGUUGUCUCACUUGUUGAAAAUGCUCUGAAGCGCGAAAUGGUUAACUGCUGAAGCAGCAAUUAUCUUCUGUGCGACGCGUUUCUUUUUUAAAAAAAAAAUAAGUAUAAAGAUGUACUAAAUCAGCGACAAUUAAUAUGAAUCAAAAUGAGUACGUAUAAUCCACCUGGCCAAGUAGGAAUAGAAGUACUAGAGAUAAAGAAAGAGGUGACAUCUAUCUAAUUUCCGAAUGGAAACACAAGACGGUGACCAAAUAGGAGAAUGGAGGUGGAUACAGGCUGGACCUUUUGGUAGGAGAUCCUUUCAGAGCUGAAUCAUGAGAUGGAUGGUGCAAAUUCCAAAUCAAGUAGUAGGUGGUGACUUUACACGUGAAAGAGGCGCAUGGCUGACAUGGAGCUGUGUAGGUGGCAAUAGCGAAGCACCGGCCUCCAUGACUUACUACUAGUCACGAUGGAUGAUCUUAGUUUCUCCCUACCUUAACAAUUAGCGAAAAGCCCUUUCGGAGAGUGAUCUUGCGGGGUUUUGGCCAAUCAGAGCCCUCGGUUUGUAGGCCUAUUCCCUUCUUCCUUUUCUUGAAGCGGAGGCAAAAGAUUUACACCUCAUAUGUAUGUUAAAAGGGGAAUGAUUGUGAAAUACAGGCCCCUCGAUACAAAAGGAUUAGUUCCGGAAAUGAUUGAUCGCAUUUUCUUUGCACCCAUGGCAAUCCAAAGACGAGCCUCGCCUUUGACGGAGCUGAGCAGGAUUGGCAGUAGGCUACACAUGUGGUGGAACAAGCGGGCGCUUUCAUUCCAAAUAGACCAACACAUGAGCAUGCGUGGUGAGGGAGGUCAUGUCCUUUCUAUUGGCGGUAGAGGAGUCGGACCGCUUGAUCCACCAAUCUUUGACGGAUCUCUUAUGGUGCCAAGAGGAGGUGUUGAUUCUCUCAAGGUGAAGCCAUUCGCCCGCCAGGCUCCAAAGACGUAUUGUGUAGUGACAUCUGAAGAAGAGGUGCUCUCCAUACUCUUACACCUGCUAGCAAAGAAUUUGGCCAGCUUCGGUUGGGCAAUCUAUCGGCGGUGCAAAGCCUAUCUUGGAUCGCCAAUCAUGUAAAGAACUUGACUUUUGGGGGUUCCAAUGUUUUCCAUAUACCACGUUCUCGAAGGGAUAUUAGAAGCUUCUUAGGUAUUGUGCUUCAUAGGCGGAGGUCGCAGAGUAUUGCUCAUCACUCAUGUGCUUCUAAACAAUCUCAUCCUCGGCAAGCUCCUCAAGGUGAAAGUCAUGAAUGGUUGUCCACAAGGUCAGAAAUUGAUGUAAGUACUCGAAAGUCAAGUUGGCGAAAAUCUUGAUCUUGGAUACCCGAGCAUUAUGGAAAAGGGCUGCUUUUUAUCUUCCUCAUUUUUUCUUGUUGAAGCUUGAUGGAUGGGAGGGGCAAUCUCCGUUGGCUUCCCAUUACUGGACCAUGUGCAUCCCAAAUGGGUGUCCCGGCACCAUUCCUAACGGUGAUACUGGUUGAUACAUAGAAGAGGUUACGGUCUUGCAUCCAUCCGAAACUUACAUCUGGACUAUCGUACUAUUUAAACAGGUCUCGUUGCUGGUCUCUAGACGAGGUGGUACUAAAGUUUGCCGAGAGCCAGAUCGUUACCGAGAGGCACCGUCGGCAAAGAAGUGUAACUAUGACCGCACCAUUAAUCACCAUUGGAUGUGCCACGUGGCAAAACUUUGCCGUGUGGUGGCUUCUUGGCUCUCAGCAUAUAUAUUUUUUUUUAGAAAAGGAGGUUAAACCCCCGGCCUCUGCAUCAAUCGGCGCAUGCAGCCAUUUUAUUAAUUAUUCCACAAAGGUCUAACAAGACUAUACAUCAGUCUACCCAAAGCCACCACUCACACCUACAAACUCGAGAAUGUAGAGUGCUCUCACUCCACAUAUCUAAGACCGGUGUUGUUUCUAAUCCAUCCACAUAACGUAUCGGGAACAACAGCCAGUGCAACACACCUAAAACGCACACCUCACGCACACGUUUUACCAGCCGUCAUCAUCCUCGAACCACUGACCCAUCUUCAGGAAAGAGAUCCGCAUCAUCCUUGCCAGUCCAAUCAUCUGUCGACGCCACCACGGCGCCCAACGGAUCCACCGUCCUGCGCUCAUCCGUCCAGAUGCGAAGACUUCGGAAGAUCUGUCGUGCGUAGCACCUGCCAACCAGGCAUGACUCAGCGUAGCACCUGUCGGCCAGGCAUGACUUGACAUCUCCACCGAAAUUCCAUACAAGACGAAGCCGCUCCACCUCCUGCCUCAGUCUGCCAGCGCUGCUCCACAAACGAUGCUUCCAAGAGAGAAACGACACCGCAAUACCGCCAUCGUCCGAUCUGGAAGACCAGAUCCUAGGGUUUCCCCCGAAGCAGUGCCCACCACCAGCAACCGUUCAGGACCCACACAGUGCCCACCACCGCUCAACCCUCAAGGCGACGCUUCAGGAAGGUCACGACAUCAAGGACGCCGCCGCCGCCCACCGGAGUUAGGGUUUUCACCCGAGAGGCAAGGAAGGUGAGCAGAGGAGCAGAUGUAUACCGACAUCUCCAAAAAGCAGAAAAACGGCGCCCUUGAGCGUCGUCGUCGGCGCGGCCGGCCUGGGCCAACCAAGGGGUUUCCCCCAAUCCGAAUCUCCUCCACCAGCUUCACACGCAGGUAGGGCCCCGGCAACCACGCUGGCACCCUAAGAUUCCGCAGGAGAGAAGCCCACAUAUCAGGACCUGGGGGCGCAGGUGGCGGUGCGGGCAGCGACCGGCGAAGGGGAACAACACACCUCCACAAUGACGCUUCCAAGAAAGAUAGCGGCACCCACGAGCGUCGCCGUCGUGACUUCGAUGAAGACCGGAGCAAGGAUUUCUCCCGGUGCUGUGCUGGAUAUCCACCGCCACGGACCGUUGAGCAUGGCCGCCACACCAUCACGACCCCCAGCCAAGGCCACUGCACCGCGCGCCCUGGACACUGCUCGUGCCCAGCCGACCAGCGCAGCCUCGCCCGGCUGCCGCUCUACCACCAGGGCCGAGUGCCCCGCCAGAUCCGGCCAUGGAGCCCUGGAUCCGCCCUCCGCCACUGCCGAUUGGCGAGAUCACAGCGCAUCCCGCAUCCGCCGACGCGAGGCGCCGCCGCCAGAGCCCGAGGGCCGAUGGGAGGGGCCCCGCCACCGCCAUCCCCGGGCGCGCGCGGCUUCGUCGGCGUCCCCUCCGGCAGCGGCGAAGCGGGAGGGGGCGGAGAUGGGGUCCGGUGUUCCUGCUGGAUGUGCCGCUAGUCGCCGGUGCGAGGAGGCGCUGGAGAAGGCUCGGUGUGAUUCGAGUCGCGCGCACGGGGACUUGAUCCUCAAUAAAUGGAAGAAAACUUCAUGUGCAUCACGUGUCAAUUCUAGAAAUUGAACUCGGGUCAUUGGGCUGCACAAACUCAUGCCCAACCACUGAGUCAAGGCUCUCUUUGCAUAUAGUGCCUUUGCCGAGUGUUUUAGCUUUGCCGAGUUCAACGCUCGGCAAUUUCAUGUGUUUGUCGUGAUGUGUCUGACACUCGGCGUAUACGAAAAUUCCACUGGUUUAUCAUAUACGAAUUGACCGCACAUCCAUCAUAAUUUAAAAACUUUAAUUGGUAAUAAAGUUGCAUCCCGUAAACAGUUAUGAACGAUUGAGCUUGGGAUAAUCAUCUGCACUUUUAUCACUCCAUGAUAAUGGAAACCGCACCGUGUCAGAUAUGAGGUGACCGAGAUGAGGCACAAAUACCAUUAGCUAGGAUCAAGAAGAAAAGCCAGGCAAAUAGUGUGGUAAUAAGCUAGUAGCUAUAGCAAGCUAGGCCGUCAACUCAAUCAGGUGUUAGGACAUAAAAUUACCUGACGGAGCUACAUGAUAGCCGGUCUUCAGAUAUCACGACUGGACCUGAUAUCUCACCCAUCCAGCAUUUAUUAGGCGACAUGACCGAGAAGAUACAAGUGUCGUGAAAGCUGCCGGCAGGAACAAAUGGGCAGUUCAAAUGCCAAUUUAUCCUACUAGUCAACUCGGUGCCCUUUUGGCCAAACUCUGAAAAUGCCGGCUCCACCCGAAAGGUAAUUCAGUUUCAGUGAUCGCAAACAGGAUCUGACACUCUGAGCAAAUAGUUAAGCGGUCAUUGCCAACGUCUCUUUUCGUAUCCUGUAGCAGCUAUUGCUUAUCUAGUAACCGCACUAUCUAAGGCGCAGCGUGUUAUUUGUUGGCGCUCACUGACGCCACUACAAACAGUCAUGAACGAAUCGCAAACAGUCGAGACCAUGGAUCGAUCGUUUCGGCGCCGGUGAUUGUCAAUCACGUACUAUUGUGUUUGUGACGGCGCCAGUGUUUGUCCUGCGGAUUAUGAUUCAUGUAGAAAUUUAGUGGAGAGUUUGUAUUUGUGACAGUGCGGAUUAUAUUGCGGAUUAUGAUUCAUGUAGAAAUUUUGGUGGAGAGUUUGUGUUUGUGACAGCGCGAGUGGCCAAUUUGGCGCCAUUUAGUGCUAUCUGUAGCUCGUUGCAUACAUAGUGGUUGAAGCUUCAUGGAUAGUGACCAGCCGAGUGCAGGACGUGACCAAAUGGCUAGCUAACUCAUGCAUCUCGAUCCAGUUUUUGCGGGCGGGCUAGGGUCCUCCUGUGACGACGCAGCGGCGGUGGCUUGCCGGAUUUGGCCGGUUUCGGCCGGGUCCGGCCCAUUAGCGUUCUGUUUAGUGGCGAGGUUUGAUGGCGACUCCUGCAUGGUCAUGGCGUGAUGGCUUAGUGGGAGGCGUGCGUGCUAGCGGAGAUGUUGUGCGUGGGGUUGUAGUGUUGGGAAGUGCUCCGGGCGAAAGCUUGUCGGGCAAAAUCUUGCCGGCCGACGGUGUCGGCGUCUCUGGAUGUUGUCUCACCUCCUUGGAGGUAUCGUUGAGAAAUUCUCUCCCUACACACCCUCGAAUCCAGUUCUUGGGGUGAAAACCUUAGGCUCGGUUGGGUCAAAUGACGGCGUCGGCAUCGUCGCUUCCUCCUUGGGGGUGUCGUCUUGAAGAGCUUUGGAUCUUGUUUGCACUCUCCAGGGGCUAGACGCUCACGACAUUGCGGUCGGCUGGGGUUCGUCCGGCAAUGUGGAUGAUCUGCACGGCUUCUUGUGGCAACGAUGGCUCCUUCAAGCGGAGUAGGAUUUGUUGUUGGGUUCUGUUAGUCGGUCUCAUCCGGUGUGUUCGAGGGGUCGCCGUGCCUCUCUUAUCUUCUGAAGUUGGAGAUGUUUGAGGAGGAACCUUGCGGCGACGAUGACGUGAAGACGGGUGGUCCGUUCUGGCGCUGGCUCGGCGCAGGUCCAGUACUUUUUAUCCUAUAAUGCUCGUCCGCUGAGUCGAAGCUGCCCGGUCAUCGGCGUGUGUGGUGGACUGUUUGGCGUUGUCCGACGCAGGCCUCUACGCACGUCUGCGGUCGGGGCUUCAUCGGUGGUCGUCGAUGGUGAAGUUGGAGUCGCCCUCGCGGAGGAGUGAUGAUGAUGACGCCGGAUUACAACCUUGGCGGAGCUCUUCCCCUUGGCGGCGUGUGUGCGUUCUUGCAUAGGUUGCCAGGUCGCCCUGUGUGUUUUGAUAUGUCAGCGCAUUGUGACGGUUUUAGCCCGGUUUUUUGAUUAUUAACCGGACAACUUUCUUAGACUUCUUUAAUAAAAUCAGUACCUAAAGGACCGCGUUUUAAAAAAGAAUAGACAUAGUGUUGGUGCUAUAUGAUCCUACUGUGUUUAUAUAUUAUCAUUUUACCAUCUUUUUUAUUGUUUUUAUUUGACUGUGUACACCUUAGCUAUGUAAAAACAGGAUGUUGGUCAUCAUGUUUUAUAUCCAUUUAAUGUUACAUUUUAAAUUAAUAAAUUGCUUUUCUAAUUCAAAAACGAAAUAAUAAGAACAUCUUGACGAUGUACAUGCAUGAAUCAUGGACAUAAUUGAUCUAGGAAGACUGCCAUAUGAAACAGUGUAGAUGUUGGCCACUUGGCCGUGAGCGCGGGAUCACCCUUCCGUACGUGUCCCAAACAGAAUUAGAAUUAGGGCUCCUUUGAUACAAAGGAUUUUAUUGGAUUUUUGGAGGAUUUGGAUCCUUAGGAUUUUUUCCUAUGAUGGUUGUUUGAUUCGUAGGAUUGAAAUCCUUUGGAAUUUUUUCAUAGGAUUCGUUUGUAGAAUUCUUUUGUUUUUUCUGUGCUAUCAAACAGACUUCUAAAUCUUAUAGUGUAAAAAAAGACAUGUCACUCUAUUCCUACGUUUUUCUUAUUCCUGCUCGUACGAAUCAAAGAGGCCCUUAGUUAGCUAGGCGAGCAAGCUGCCGUUGCCGUUGCCGUUGCGAGAGGCAGGCAAUCAAAGGGGCAGCGUGUUAUUUAUUCGUUGGCCCUCACAGUGGCCAAUGUGGUGCCGUUUAGUGCUGUCUGUAGCUCGUUGCGUGCGUGUGGUUGAAGCUUAGCCGAUAGUGAUCAGCGAACAUCAGUACAUGACAAUGAGUGCGCUUUACAGAUGGAUGGCUAGCUAGCUGAUGCAUCAUGCUAAUUAAUCAAGAGCACUUACUCUAUUAUGAGAGGGAGACGUACAUGAUUAAUCAUGCACAUGAUUGAUGUAGGAAGACCGCCAUCUGAACCGUGGGUUUCACAUCCAGCGCUCACGGUGAAGCCGGCCCCAGAUCAAUCGAGUCGGCCCUGUCUAAAAAGCAAGCACUAGCAUUUGGAAGGCUACCUGGUUUUGAAAGGAAAUUUGAUGAGAUCAGUUUGAAGCAGACAUGGAAUGAGACGUACGGCCGGGCGUCAAUCAGAGGGAAGGAUUGAUCAUUUUUUAUUAAAAGAAUGGUGAGAAUAAUUCAUGCGCGUCGCCGCCGGCCGGACAUGGACAACAUCUGCAAACAACAUUGUGAGUCAUGCUCGAACCGAUCGGACGGCAAGUGGUCAAUAUACGUAGCAGCAAAUAACGAAGUUUCUGUAUAAACGGACGAACGAUGAGUACGUAUACGUAAUACCUGACGCGAGUGUGUAUGGCUUGUUAUUGUUGGUCGCGCAUGAAUGAAUGCGAGGAGGGAAAGACGUGCGGCUCUCUCCCUUCAAUUCCCCAGCAACCAACAAAACCGGCAGACUCGCACGCAGCCACAUGCGACAAAUUUCACUGUUUUGAUCUUUUUACGAAAGUUCAGUCAAAUUUGACCUCGGUUGGAAAAAUAAAAUCGGAUCGAACCCUUUUGCUAUCGACGGGGACCUUAACGAUAGGGUACAACAACCUACCGCCAAGGCCCUUGACGGUAAAAAAAUGACCUGCCAUCAAAGAGGCUGCCGGUAGCGCAUGUGACCCUACCGCCAAGGGAUCCGACGAUAGGCACUCGAGCGUAUUGGAUCUGCAACUUAGAAAUCUUUUUACAGUAGGUGUGCAACCCUACCGUCAGGGGCCUUGACGGUAGGUUGUUAUAACCUACCGUCAGGGGCCUUGACGGUAGGUUGUUAUAACCUACCGUCAAGGACUCCGACGCUAGCAAAAGGGUUAUAUUUGUGCAAAAAAGAAGAAGAGAGAAAAAAAAGGGUUAUGUUUGAAAAAAAAUUACCAGCCGGGAUGAGAUCGGGCUAAACUUACGUAAAAAGGUCAAAACAUGAAUUUUUGCCGCCACAAGCUUGCUUUCGUACGUUCGCACCAGGAUCACCCUCGCUGGCAGGAAUGGAAACUUCUUCCUCCAAACAGACUUUCACCCCGCUUUAUACAUAAAGCAAAGAACCGCGGUACACGUCCAAACGAUACAAUAUGGUGGAAGGUCCCCUUACAUAGUAGAUCAAAAAAAUACAACAUAAGCUUAGAGCAAGCCUAACACCUUCCCAAAGCCCGAACAAAGAUCCCUGAGCUCAGUAGAUAAAGUUUUUACCGUGAGCCUAACACCUUCCCGAAGCCCGAACAAAGCCGAACACCUUCCCGAAGCCUGAACAAACGCCCCAAGGAGGGUGACGACGCCGAGUCUGAGAAUAGAUAAAGUUUUCACCGUGAGCCUUGGUACAGGAUGGAGGUCCGCUACGCCGUCUUUAAGAAACAAGCGGCACCCACGGACGUCGCCGGCGCCGGUGCCAGAAGCUCGGAGCUUUCACUCAGACACGCGCAUGCACCACUAAGAGGAGCGCAGACCGCCACCUCGAUGAUGGCCAACUUGCCCACCUCUCGAUCUGGGCACUUGCAUAGCAGACCAAGGCCGCCCGCCACUCCAAUCCUAGUCGCCCACACGAGAGAUGGAGCAACUGUUGGAAAUAUGCCCUAGAGGCAAUGAUAAAAUAGUAAUUAUUAUAUUUUCUGUUUCAAGAUAAUCGUUUAUUAUCCAUGCUAUAAUUGUAUUGAAUGAGAACAUAAAUGCAUGUGUGCAUAUAUAGACAAAACAAUGUCCCUAGUAAGCCUCUAGUUGACUAGCCAGUUGAUCAAGGAUGGUUAAGGUUUUCUGACCAUAUGCAAGUGUUGUCACUUGAUGACUGAAUCACAUCACUAGGAGAAUGAUGUGAUGGACAAGACCCAAACUAUAAACGUAGCAUGUGAUCGUGUCAUUUUAUUGCUAUUGUUUUCUGCGUGUCAAGUAUUCAUUCCUAUGACCAUGAGAUCAUGUAACUCAUUGACACCGGAGGAAUACCUUGUGUGUAUCAAACGUCGCAACAUUAAUGGAUGACUAUAAAGGUGCUCUACAGGUAUCUCCGAAGGUGUCCGUUGAGUUAGCAUGGAUCAAGACUGGGAUUUGUCACUCCGUGUGACGGAGAGGUAUCUCGGGACCCACUCGGUAAUACAACAUCACAUAUAAGCCUUGCAAGCAAUGUGACUAAAGUGUUAGUCACAUUUUGUAUUACGGAACGAGUAAAGAGACUUGCCGGUAACGAGAUUGAAAUAGGUAUAGGGAUACCGACGAUCAAAUCUCGGACAAGUAACAUACCGAAGGACAAAGGGAAUGGUAUACGAGAUUAUAUGAAUCCUUGACACAGAGGUUCAACCAAUAAGAUCUUCGUAGAAUAUGUAGGAUCCAAUAUGGACAUCCAGGUCCCGCUGUUGGAUAUUGACCGGGGAGUGUCUCAGGUCAUGUCUGCAUAGUUCUCGAACCCGCGGGGUCUGCACACUUAAGGUUCGGUGACGUUUCGGUAUAGUUGAGUUAUAGGUGUUGGUGACCAGAGGUUGUUAGGAGUCCCGGAUGAUAUCACGGACGUCACGAGAGUUUUUGAAAUGGUCCGAAAACGAAGAUUGAUAUAUAGGAUUGUUUCAUUUAGGUCAGAUCCAGCAAGAGAGAUGGAGAAAUAGAUGAGACGAGGAUGACACACGACCUGCACCCCAUGCCAGGGCCAAAUCCAACCAGGCUUGGCUGGAUCUGACCCGAGGAUGGCACGCGUGAAACCACCAGGGACGCUGAGUAGAGGCGAGCUUAGACCCAGCAACCACCCGCGGACCACCCCUCGAGCCCCGCAUGAAGCCGGGCCGCCUGAGUCGACUACCAAACCGGAAUGGCCCGAUCUAGCACAGGACCCGGACACAUCCCCAUCGCCCACAGCCCCUUCACGCCACCGCCGGCACCCAGUGCCUUCGCCAUCGCUGUUGUUGCCGUGCCGCCACGCCCUAUGUCCGCGCAACAGCACCGCCCGAACCCGUCAGCCCGCGCCGACCGGUCCCAAGUGGCUGGUAGAAAAGAGCCCCGCCGUUGUCGAUGCUGGCCGGGCUUCGCCGGUCAGCACGUCGAGGCGGCGGCGAGGGGAAGGCCUGGGCCAGCGCCCCUCGAAUACAGGCUCACGGGAAUAAAAACUUCAAUCAAUAAAACGGAGCUGCCCAGAACUAUUUCCUAUACAUCUAAUGCAAAAUUCUACGCCCAUCAGAGUGAUGGGAAUAGAGGUCAACUUGCUGAUGAAUCUGUAACACUAAUGCCACGACGACUGCAUCUGAUAAAUCAUUCUUAUACGGGUUCCGUGUUUCAAGCAGGCAGGCAGCUGUUCGUCACCCAACACAUGAGUGCAACAGGACGUAGUAUACAGAAAAGUGACCAAGGAUAUGGACAGUUUAUCUGAUAUAAGAAAGAAGGAAAGAACGAAAAAAGUCCAAAGGCCACGAUAAAAAAAGCUUGUGGUUGUGCUAUCGUUCACUUUCUUAUUCACGCAAAGACAGGCUGACGCUUACGUUUUUUUUUUUUCCUUUCUUCUCUGUAUCUUCUUUCUCUCGCCUCCGUCAGAUUCAUCUCGUUUUCCAUCAAAUCUAUGACGAACGGAAAAGCUACCUCCGGCUACGCAAGAGCUGGAACCGACAAAUGGAGGAGCUUCUGUAGAAAACGGAGUUUCUGUAGAAAACAGACGAAUGAUGAGUAUGUAUACGCAAUAGUACGUGACGCAAGUACUUAUGGCAGGCGCUGUAUUCUUGAGUGUUGGUUGCACCCCGGCUUGUUAAUGGCCGGUAGAUGGAGGAGCUGCAAACAACAAGACGGCGGGGGACGGGUAAUCCCAUGACCAGCAGAUGAGCUUGCUGCAUGAGGACCUGCAGGAUGGUUUCGCGACAAUCAUGCAGGCAGGCAGGUAGGCAGCUGUUGGUCACACAACACAUGAGUGCAACAGGACGUAGUACACAGAAAAGUGACCAAAGAUAUGGACAGUUUAUCUUAUGUACUCCAAAGGCCACGAUAAACAAAAGCUUGUGGUUGUGGAUAGGAAGAUAACUCUCCACCAUUCGUAUGCAUGUUUUGUGGUUCAGGCUCGCCUUGUGCAACUAAGAAAAAAAGACAAUAACAACAAGUCUGAGAAAUCAUUCGUAUGUUGGUAUAUUUUGGAAGGAAAAAAAAUAACCCCAUACAAGGCUUAUAUUUUGAAACGGUGGGAGUAUUGCUCAUGCCUCCCUCGGUAGCACGAAAGUGAGGCAAAUAUUUAAAAGACCCUGACACAUCUACUUGGCACCUCGAGAACUCUAUUAAGGCUGGUCACAAUGGGGAGUAACAUAAGGUAGGAACCUACACACUUUUCUAGACUAUGUUCCUACCUCCACAAUGGGAAGUAACAUAUAUGUAGUGUCAUGCAACAAUGCAUUUAUUAGGCUAUAGACUCAUUGUUUGUUGGAGUGUGUGAUGUUCCGAUAACUUAGCUAGUUACCACAAGCACCUCUCUCUUCAUUAAAUAUGUGCCACAUAAGCAAAGUUGUAUUGGAGUGUGUGAUGUUACUGUUAAGUUCCUCCCCAUUGUGACCAGCCUAAGACUAGUCAUAGUGGGGAGUAACUAAGUAGUAACAUCAACGCCACGUGGGCAAAAAAUCUGACGUGGCAAGUAUUUAAUGUGGAGAGAGAUGGUAGUGGUAACAUAGCUAGUUACCAUCACAUCACAUAUUUCAAUGCACUAUGUGUCUACAACCUAAUAAAUGUUUGUUUGCAUGACACCACAUGUAUGUUACUCCCCACUAUGAAGAUAGUAACAUAGACUAAUAACAACAUCAUGUUACUAUUCUUAGUUACUCCCCACUAUGAGCAGCCUAAGGAGUGAUGGGUAAAUACUCACAUGCGGUACACCAUUAAUGGAAUGGACCGAAUUCAAUGGAGUAGAUCAAACAAGAGCACAUCCAACCGAAAGUCAUGGCCUUCCUCACCACAUUAAUGGAAUGGACCAUUGGAACGAACGGAACGCCUAAAUACCGAGAGUGUGCCUAUAUACCGUAGAAUUCCUUCUCGACGUUUGGUACCUAUAAACCGGAAGGGAGGGAGGACGUAGGAACUGAAUGGAUACACCACCGCCGCCUUUUGUGCUAACUAUGUGGUCGUACUCCAUGCAUCCCCAUCCGGCCGCUAUAAGUUGAGCAGCACACAGCAGCGGCCUCCCCUGAGUUCCAAGUCCGUAGAGAGCACUCCCAUCCCAUGGCGUCUGGACAACCGGCCGUGCAGGUACACCAUCUGGCCUCCAUUGAAUUCGGUUGCUCACAUGCUGUCACAUUUUUUUGACGUACCUCGUCUCUCUUGGGUCUGCUGCAUGCAGACCUUGGUUCUGAGGGUUUCCAUCCACUGCCAUGGCUGCAAGAAGAAGAUCCGCAAGGUGCUCAAGAGCAUCCAAGGUACGUACCUAGCUAGCGUCAGUCACUCUCUUCUUUCAUCCUCCUUCUCCUCGCGGGCUUAUGAUUAACUAAUUAAGUGGUCGAUCGUCGUUCAGGCGUGCAGGACGUGGAGGUAGAUGCCCAGCAGCACAAAGUGAUGGUGACGGGCACCGUGGACGCCGAGACGCUCGUCAAGAGGCUCUGCAAGUCUGGCAAGCAGGCACUGCCAUGGCAACACGAGCCCGCCGCGCCUGCCAAGAACCCCGAGGCCUCACCGCCGGCCACUCCGGCUCAGGACGGCGGCAAGGACGAUGCUGCUGCGGCGGCGGACAAGAAGCCAGCGGAGCCUGUGAAGGAGCCGCAGGCCGACGACAGCUCGGACAAGAAGCCGGAGCAGGAGGAGACGGCCCCGGAGAAGACGCCUCAGACGGACGAGGAAGCAGAGUCUGAGAAGAAGGAGGCUGAGAAAGAGGAGGCGAAAGCAAGCGACGAGGCAAAGGAAGACGCCGGCGACGGCGAGGGCCCAGCGGCCGAGCCCAAGGCAAAGGAGGACAUAAAGGACGCCGGCAGUGACGAGGGUGAGGCCAGGAAGAAACAGAGCAAGCCCGACGCCGCACCCGCCGCCGACAGGUCCCUCUCUCCGGCGCCGGAGCACGCGCACCAGGAGUUCAGCCCGUACAACGCGCCGCAGCCGGUGAUGAGCUACCACACGGCGCAGCCGGGAACGAGCGUGUCCUACUACGCGCCGCAGCCGGAGCAAGGCUACACCAUGCGGCAGCAGCCCGGGUACUCCUCCGUCAUGCAGCCGCGGCACCCACCGACGGCGCCGCAGCAGCAAUGGUCGCCGUCGUACCUUUACAUGCCGUACCCGCACGCGUCGCCGGAGUCGUACUACCAGGACUACUACAGCCCGCCGGGGACGCACGCGCCGCCACCACCUCCGGCGCCGCUCCAGGACUCGUAUCGCCUGCUCGACGACGAGAACCCCAACUCGUGCAGCGUCAUGUGAUUUUUUCACCGACACGUACGGCGUACGGCACAGCGCGGCUCCGGCUAGCCACCGGCGGCAGAGUAGCUAAGAAGACGGCUUCGUAAUAUAUAGAGACCUCUCUGGUUGUAGCUAGAGUAGCUUGUUACCUCUUCCACGAUUGGGAGGUCAAAGCUCUCCUUGUUCCUCUUCUUUUUUAUUAUUGUUAUUACUGUUCUAAAUGUAUAGAGCAUGUAAUUGUGGUGGAUUGACGGACGUAUUCAGACGUGUCUACGAGUCUUUAUAUCCUUAUCACAUUUGUUCUUGAUAUAAGGGUUCGCUGACAACCUCAACGUAAGUGAAUGAUAUGGGCAAUCCGAUUCCAUAACUCGAGUUGCCCCCAAGUCAUAAUUUACUCUUUAGAUAAGGCCCAACCAAUCACCUCUCCAUUUUGCCACCGAUGAUGCUGGCACAAUGAUAAAUCUUAAUUGUUUAGUGCGAUAGCCCAGCAGUUGAAUUUAAGCUGGUGAUUGGGAUGAGGCCUAGCUGGCCGGUUUGUCUGUAGGCUUUUGAAUAUAAUUAAGCAAGUGGGUUGCUGG
rnacentral:lncRNA from 1 species